rnacentral:rRNA from 1 species
UACGGAGGGUGCAAGCGUUAUCCGGAUUCACUGGGUUUAAAGGGUGCGUAGGCGGGUAUAUAAGUCAGUGGUGAAAUCUCGAAGCUUAACUUCGAAACUGCCAUUGAUACUAUUUAUCUUGAAUAUUGUGGAGGUUUGCGGAAUAUGUCAUGUAGCGGUGAAAUGCAUAGAUAUGACAUAGAACACCUAUUGCGAAGGCAGCAGGCUACACAUAUAUUGACGCUGAGGCACGAAAGCGUGGGGAUCAAACAGG